rnacentral:rRNA from 1 species
AUUGAACGCUGGCGGCAGGCUUAACACAUGCAAGUCGAGCGGAGAUGAGGUGCUUGCACCUUAUCUUAGCGGCGGACGGGUGAGUAAUGCUUAGGAAUCUGCCUAUUAGUUGGGGACAACAUUCCGAAAGGAAUGCUAAUACCGCAUACGUCCUACGGGAGAAAGCAGUGGAUCUUCGGACCUUGCGCUAAUAGAUGAGCCUAAGUCGGAUUUGGUAGUUGGUGGGGUAAAGGCCUACCAAGGCGACGAUCUGUAGCGGGUCUGAGAGGAUGAUCCGCCACACUGGGACUGAGACACGGCCCAGACUCCUACGGGAGGCAGCAGUGGGGAAUAUUGGACAAUGGGGGGAACCCUGAUCCAGCCAUGCCGCGUGUGUGAAGAAGGCCUUAUGGUUGUAAUGCACUUUAAGCGAGGAGGAGGCUACUGAGACUAAUACUCUUGGAUAGUGGACGUUACUCGCAGAAUAAGCACCGGCUAACUCUGUGCCAGCCGCCGCCGUAA